UUUUUUCAAAAUGGCGUCGACUGCAGCUCAGCUGCCAGCCGAGCUCAGCUGUAAAGUUUCAUUCGUUUUUUUCUGUUUUCUUCCGUAAUCUGUAAUCAUGUAAUUGUAAUCGGACGAUUUUCUCGGAAUUCUCGAGUGAUAUUGAAAUGGUGCUUGCAACGAGACAUUUGGAGCUUAGUCUUAUCAUUUUGUUAUUUUUUAAAGUUUUUUUUUGUAAACUUGUUUGAUUUGGAUUAUUAAAAGGAUCUUUUAGCGAAAGGAACAAGUGGACUUCAGAACAAAAAAGGACAGCCAAGGGGAGGAAGAAAACAACUUAGUCUCUUCUCAUCAUUCCAAUCCGGUAAUUCUCAAAGGCAAG